rnacentral:rRNA from 1 species
UACGUAGGGUGCAAGCGUUGUCCGGAAUUAUUGGGCGUAAAGCGCGCGCAGGCGGUCCUUUAAGUCUGAUGUGAAAGCCCACGGCUUAACCGUGGAGGGUCAUUGGAAACUGGAGGACUUGAGUGCAGAAGAGGAGAGUGGAAUUCCACGUGUAGCGGUGAAAUGCGUAGAUAUGUGGAGGAACACCAGUGGCGAAGGCGACUCUCUGGUCUGUAACUGACGCUGAGGCGCGAAAGCGUGGGUAGCGAACAGG